rnacentral:lncRNA from 10 species
AGAGCCCACAGAUAAUAGCAACACACUAAGGUCCUCAAGGUACAUCGUUGGGAUCAAGCAACUUUGAUCCCAAGGAGAAGAAUAAAAACAAGAGGGACGACUGGGCCAAGGUGCCAUGUGAAGUGACCUGUGAGGAUCAACCCAGUGAAGAUGCUUGAGGAAGACAUGCUAGAGCAAAAACUACAACUCUGGUCCUCUUGGAUAUUUUAGAUAAGGACUUUACCCACAUAAAGAAGGUGUUGCCCUGGGGACUGGCUGAGAGAAAUUACAGACUGUUACUCACUUCAAAAGAAACGGACUGCUACAGUGGUACUUACGUCACCAGGUAAAAACUUAGAUAAAAUAAUUAUAAAACUAACCUUUAGUAACAAAUAGAAUCCAAUAAUAACACUACUAUCCAAAAGAAAAGUAUUUAAUGGUCACAAUUUCAGGUCUGCAUUUCAAACUGUUUUUCCUGAAUCUUUUAUUCUUCCUUUUCUGUGACAGUCUUACUAAUGCAUCAGCACAAAAUAAUUAACUGUUUUGCAAUCCAAGGAACACAUUAUGAUCAAUUGGGGAAAUAUAAAACUACCCACCGUGAGAUCCCA